GACGAACGCUGGCGGCGUGCUUAACACAUGCAAGUCGAACGGAAAGGCCCUGCUUUUGUAGGGUGCUCGAGUGGCGAACGGGUGAGUAACACGUGAGUAACCUGCCCUUGACUUUGGGAUAACUUCAGGAAACUGGGGCUAAUACCGGAUAGGAGCUCCUGCUGCAUGGUGGGGGUUGGAAAGUUUCGGCGGUUGGGGAUGGACUCGCGGCUUAUCAGCUUGUUGGUGGGGUAGUGGCUUACCAAGGCUUUGACGGGUAGCCGGCCUGAGGGGGUGACCGGCCACAUUGGGACUGAGAUACGGCCCAGACUCCUACGGGAGGCAGCAGUGGGGAAUAUUGCACAAUGGGCGGAAGCCUGAUGCAGCAACGCCGCGUGCGGGAUGACGGCCUUCGGGUUGUAAACCGCUUUCGCCUGUGACGAAGCGUGAGUGACGGUAAUGGGUAAAGAAGCACCGGCUAACUACGUG
rnacentral:rRNA from 1 species